UGGAUUCUACUCUAAAUAGAUACCUUGAAGGGAGUGAAGACCAUAAACCUGAUAUACAUAUUCUUAUAUAUAUUUAUUUAAUUAUCUUGAACUAUCAUUAAAAAAUAUAAUUUUUUAAACUUUUAUAUUUUAACACAAACAAAAUUUUGAUAAAUAUUGAUUGCAAUAUAUUUCAUGAACAUGAUGAUUGUUCUAGUAACUAUAUCUGAUUUUGAUGGAAAGUUUUGAUGGAUUAUGGAUUCAUGUUGAGGAUAUAAUCAACAAUAUGUUGCAAAAAAGAGCAUAAUGCAACAGUCGAGAGCUGACGUCCCCUGUGGUUACUUAGUACAGAAAACUCGGAAGUCACUUACCACUCGAGGUCUCGGUUUUCAACAAGUGCUGUAUCUUGGGAAUCAAGAUGAUCUCAUUACUGAAGGACCUACAAAAACAAUUGCAAAAUUCGUAUUGGUUCCUGGUUUCCAUGGAUGCAUACUACAGAGUGAAAAUCGAUCGAUUUGCUGGCUGACUUUCUACGGAUGAGAAAUAACAGCCAUAUACAAAGAAAUAAAUAAUCUAAUUAUAUUUAUAUUUUAUUUCUUUCAGUUAUUAUUACAAUUACUAUUAAAAAUAGUAAUAAAAUA